rnacentral:rRNA from 1 species
AUUGACCGCUGGCGGCAGGCCAAACACAUGCAAGUCGAACGCGUGGCGGAAGGGUGAGAAAUGUCUGGGAAACUGCCCGAUGGAGGGGGCUAACUACUGGAAAAGGUAGCUAAUACCGCAUACCAUCGGAUGUGCCCAGAUGGGAUUAGAUAGUAGGUGGGGUAACGGCUCACCUAGGCGACGAUCCCUCGCUGGUCUAAGAGGAUGACCAGCCACACUGGAACUGAGACACGUGCCAGACUCCGACGGUAGGCAGCAGUGGUGAAUAUUGCACAAUGGGCGCAAGCCUGAUGCAGCCAUGCCGCGUGUAUGAAGAAGGCCUUCGGGUUGUAAAGUACUUUCAGCGGGGAGGCGUUACCCGCAGAAGAAGCACCGGCUAACUCCGUGCCAGCAGCCGCGGUAAUUC